UUUAAGUGAGCAUACUAAAAAAAAUUCAGAAGAGUUCUUCGAGAGAGAGAAUGAGGGAGAGGCUGAACCCUAAAAUCUCAAUCCCAUCGCUACUGCCAUUCAUCUCUUCGCCGCCAUUGCCGCCAAGUCUUCUCCAUCAAUGUGUCGCCGGUAGAAUUAUGAAUGGAGGACGAGAUGAUGGUGGAGCCUCUCAAUUCGUGGAGCUCUCGCCUCUCGGAAUAGUAAUGCUUUAGAUCUUCUGCUUCUGCGUCGUCUUCCACAGUGGUUCUGUCGCGGGUUCUGGUUUUGCUCCAGCGGCUUGAAGCAUUCAGAGCGCGGUUUGGGCGCGGACUCGGUGGUGCUGGCUGAGUAGAUCAGGAAGGUGAGCGAGCUGGAGACUCUGGAAGCUUCGAUUGAAGCUGCGUUCGAAGCUAUCAAAUCUCGUGAAACUGAUUCUCAUGUCGUUCUGAGUCAUUGAGCAGAGGCAAUCCUACUUGGUUUCCAACAUUAUCUAGUGAUGCUUGGCACAACUAUUUUGAUUUCUAGCUCUCUAGUUCCACAGAUGGAGGGAGAAAAUGAAUACAUGAAAUCAAGACAAGGGAAGGAUUGGCCCUGGUAGAUAUUGUGAGAGAACUGACAAUGUUUGUUUUUAAGAUUAAGAUGCCUCCAAAUGUCUGAGUACAGUUGAUUAAUGGUUUGGCAGAUAUAGAGAUUAUUCUAUGCAACCUCCUGCACAAGAACUUGUGGCUAGGGAGAUUUGCAUGAUAAUGUUUGGAUUUUCCGUCAUAUAUUUCGAGGGCAACCAAAGCACCACAUGCUUACAACUGAAUGGAGUCUAUUUGUCAGUGGAAAGAAGCUCUUUGUUGGAGACUCUGUUUUAUUUAUACUAAAAGAAUAUAUCAAGAGCAAGUUUACAGAAAUCACUUGAUCAAGGAAUAUGAUUUGUGUAUACUCUAAAAGGCACAUGCUUGAUGACCCCUCACAAAUAGAGAUGAAAAACAGAGCAAAUACACAAAUUUGAAGGAGAUGGCUGUGCUUCUAAGGUAUAUCUAUUAGUGCUAAGAACUAAUUUUUUUUUUUAUAUUCUGAAUUCAGGCUGUAGCUUCAUCAAUUUUGGUCCUUGUUUUCUUGGAACCUUUAGGCUUUGGGAAGUUGAACUUUAAUCAUGGAAAUAACAAGAAAUUUCUAGUUAUAUAGUUUAGUUCUAAUCUCACUGUAAAAGCAAAUCAAUUUUAUUUGGUGGCUCCUUGAUGAUGAUGAUUCCAAGAUUUCUAAUAUGGCCUAAUACCCUCUGUUUUGUUUAGGUGUACAUGAUUGGAGUGUUCUGAUUGUGAAUUAUAAAUAUGUUAAAUGUCAAGUUCUUAACUAUGAAUUGUAAAUUUGACUAAUUAAAAUGAGGUAUCAUAUUUAGGUACAAUUGGUAAUUAACUAUUUGGUUGGGUUGAUGAAGAAGGAUGUUAAAUCUUAAUUUCUGUGGCUCUAACAGUGGCAGCUUUGUGUUUAAAUUUGUUUCUUUAACACAUUUAAGUUAUUCUUGUGUUAAAUUUUGUUCAAAUAAGUAAUAUUUUAAUUUUCUUCUAAAUUUUUAAUGUGUCUUAUUUAAAGAUUUCUUUUAAAUGAUAAUUAAUUAGUAGUAUAAUAAUAUAAUUUUAGUAUCUAGAUUAAUUGUUU